UGCUUACAAUGCAAGUCGAACGGUGAACACGGAGCUUGCUCUGUGGGAUCAGUGGCGAACGGGUGAGUAACACGUGAGCAACCUGCCCCUGACUCUGGGAUAAGCGCUGGAAACGGCGUCUAAUACUGGAUAUGUGACGUGACCGCAUGGUCUGCGUCUGGAAAGAAUUUCGGUUGGGGAUGGGCUCGCGGCCUAUCAGCUUGUUGGUGAGGUAAUGGCUCACCAAGGCGUCGACGGGUAGCCGGCCUGAGAGGGUGACCGGCCACACUGGGACUGAGACACGGCCCAGACUCCUACGGGAGGCAGCAGUGGGGAAUAUUGCACAAUGGGCGCAAGCCUGAUGCAGCAACGCCGCGUGAGGGACGACGGCCUUCGGGUUGUAAACCUCUUUUAGCAGGGAAGAAGCGAAAGUGACGGUACCUGCAGAAAAAGCGCCGGCUAACUACGUGCCAGCAGCCGCGGUAAUACGUAGGGCGCAAGCGUUAUCCGGAAUUAUUGGGCGUAAAGAGCUCGUAG
rnacentral:rRNA from 1 species